UGGGGAAUAUUGCACAAUGGGCGCAAGCCUGAUGCAGCCAUGCCGCGUGUAUGAAGAAGGCCUUCGGGUUGUAAAGUACUUUCAGCGGGGAGGAAGGUGUUGAGGCUAAUAACCUCAGCAAUUGACGUUACCCGCAGAAGAAGCACCGGCUAACUCCGUGCCAGCAGCCGCGGUAAUACGGAGGGUGCAAGCGUUACUCGGAAUUACUGGGCGUAAAGCGCACGCAGGCGGUCUGUCAAGUCGGAUGUGAAAUCCCCGGGCUCAACCUGGGAACUGCAUUCGAAACUGGCAGGCUAGAGUCUUGUAGAGGGGGGUAGAAUUCCAGGUGUAGCGGUGAAAUGCGUAGAGAUCUGGAGGAAUACCGGUGGCGAAGGCGGCCCCCUGGACAAAGACUGACGCUCAGGUGCGAAAGCGUGGGGAGCAAACA
rnacentral:rRNA from 1 species